UAUACUACUGUGCUCAGUAUGCACUACCUACGCCUACGCAUGCAGGAGAGGGAGGAGGAUUUAAUAGGUAGCAUGACUGAAGAAAACAUGUUAUGUAGACAGAUUGAUAAUCUGACUCGUUCCUAGAAAGAUGGGUCACUGAAUUCACGUGGGUUUUAACGCCGUGGAAUGAAUCUCCGUCCAUGUUCGUCGAAGUUUAAUAUACCUGAUAACAAUUUAUCAUUAAGUAUGACCUCAGCAUGUCUAUAAGCCAAGGAACUAAGUCAACGAUAAAUUAAAUAACGCAUGUUCGCUCGAUUCUUCAGCGAGAAGUCGUCCAGCCCCUAUUUUACUCGGAUAGAUACAGAUAUCUUACAAUUAGAUAAUGCGAAGAAUGAUAAGAAUUUAUAGUUCAUUCAAUCUGAUAAGGAAUCAUUGCUAUGUGUGAUGAAAAUAUCACGAACGUUGUACGCUGUAACCGAGUGCUACCUCGCAACAUAGUUGCAACGUUUCUUCCCGGAUGCACGGUCGCAUAAAAAAUUAAAAGGAAGUUGAUCAUAAAGAAUUCAUCAUAAUACAAACAAAGGUCUUUGCAUGCGCUGCAUAUGGAUUUAUGUGGAUCUCGAUUAGACAGCGAAGCCGUUACGAUAAAUACAAGUUGCACUUGCCCAAACUGAAAGACAAUGAUUCGACGUACUUAAUUGAAAUUGCAAGCAUACAUGUAACUCAAUUACCUAAUCGUGUACGAUGUUCUUGUGUAAUAGUUCUCUUUCCUCUCGCGGUUAAAAGAAUCGUAGUGCACGUGUCAGGGAUAUCACUUUCGUAGGAAACCUGUAGACUUGUUAAAUAAAUUAUACGAACGUUAUAAAACCUU